UACGUAGGCAGCAAGCGUUGUUCGGAGUUACUGGGCGUAAAGGGUGUGUAGGCGGCCUUCUAAGUUUGGUGUGAAAUCUCCCGGCUCAACUGGGAGGUGCGCCGAAUACUGAAGGGCUAGAGUGCGGGAGAGGAGAGUGGAAUUCCUGGUGUAGCGGUGAAAUGCGUAGAUAUCAGGAGGAACACCGGUGGUGUAGACGGCUCUCUGGACCGUAACUGACGCUGAGACACGAAAGCGUGGGUAGCAAACAGG
rnacentral:rRNA from 1 species